rnacentral:rRNA from 1 species
GAAUAUUGCACAAUGGAGGGAACUCUGAUGCAGCAACGCCGCGUGAGUGAAGAAGGUNNNCGGAUNGUAAAACUCUGUCAUUGNGGANGAAUAAAUGACGGUACCCAAUGAGGAAGCCCCGGCUAACUACGUGCCAGCAGCCGCGGUAAUACGUAGGGGGCGAGCGUUGUCCGGAAUUACUGGGCGUAAAGGGUACGUAGGCGGCUAUAUAAGGCAGGUGUGAAAUACCAGUGCUUAACACUGGAAUUGCAUUUGAAACUGUGUAGCUUGAGUGCAGGAGAGGAAAGUGGAAUUCCUAGUGUAGCGGUGAAAUGCGUAGAGAUUAGGAGGAACACCAGUGGCGAAGGCGACUUUCUGGACUUUUUCUGACGCUGAGGAACGAAAGCAUGGGGAGCAAACA